CCGCUGGCCCGUGCGCAUGCGCACCUCUCCCCGCCCGCCUGCCGCCGUCAGCUCCCGCCCGCCCACGUGUGCGCAUGCCCACACGCGUUUCUGACACCGGUUCGCCCCAACGUCCAGCUGCGUGUCCCACGUUUUCACUCAGCCCACGCUGUGUCCCUGAGGAGGCCUCAGGUCCCACCCGGUCAGGGCUCAGUCCCGGGACUCUGUUCCUCAACCCCCAUUUCAGUUGUGGGUCAUGAGGGAUGGGUCACCAGGGUCCUCGCGACUUCUGUCCACCUUGGCUGGACAUCUCGUGAUCGCACACUCGCCCUCGUCAGAGUAAAGCAUUUGCUACGGCAGCUCUCAGAACUCAGGGAAACACGUUUACCGGCUUAUUAAAGGACACGACAAAGGUGCAGAUGAACAGCCAGACGAAGAGUCGUGUGGGGGUGCACUUCCAGCUUCCCAGUGAGGUGAAUGUUACGAUUUCUACACUGCCAGUGAGAAGCCUACAACCCAGACAGACCAGGAAGGAUAAGAUUGCCAUUUCCUUUCAUGAAGCCAAUUUAACUCUCAUAUGAAAACUUGAUGAAAAACAGUACACUAGAAGUAGAUUACAGUCCAGUCUCACUGGUGAAUACCGAUGCAAAGAUCCUAAUGUGUACUAGCUCACUGAAUUCAAUGACUAAAAGAAUAUACUAUAUUGUGAUAAAUUAUGGUUAACGUUUAGGAAAUGUAAGGAGAAAAAUACUACAUUAGAAAAAAACUAUUAAUGUAAUUUCAUAUACUAACAAGCUAAAGAAGGAAAUACUUAGGAACAUUUCAACAGAUGCACAAAAAGCAUCUUAUUUACUAUGUAAGUUAGUAGGAAACUAGAAACAAAAAGAAACUUCCUCAAUGGGAUAGAAAAGUAUUUAUCUUUUUACCUGGAAACACUUGAAAAGCAUUCCCUUUAAGAUCUGGAACAAUGCAAGACACAUGCUGUCGUAAUGUUCUACAUAACACUGGAGGUUCAGGCCAAUGUAAUAAGACAGGAAAGAAUACUAAGAAAUACAAGGAUUGGAUGGAAAGAGAUGAGAUCAUCACAAUCGUAAGUAUUGUGAUCAUUUACACGAAGACUAAAAACCAACAGACUUUUAGAAAUAAUAAGAAAGUUCAAUAUUAUAAGGCCAAUGCCCAAAAAUCAGUAGCAUCCCUCAAUAUCAGCCAUAAUAAAGUCAAGAAGAUAGUAGACAAUAAAAUACCAAAACAACAACAACCAAACCGCAAAAUAUCAAGGACUUAAGAGACAAAAAUUCACAGGAUCAUUACAGAAGAAAAUUUAAAACUCCAGCAAAGGGCAUAAAGAAAGAGUUGAAUUAAUAGUGAGAUGAAUCGUCUUCAAUAUUUAAAGAUAACAAUUUUUCCCUAAUUUAAUGCAGUUUCAAGCAAAGUCACGGUCACCUUUGGGGAGAUCCUGCCCUGCUCAUAUUUGGAAUGAGUCCUCCACUGAGUGAGUCUUGGUAGAAGGCAGGAACCCCUCUGUGGAAGUGGAAGAAGGGCCAGACACCCCUUCUUGCUCUUUGGAAACUAGCAUAUGAGUACGUGAUCUGAGCUCAGACAUGAAAUUCUCUUUCUCAGGGUUGUGAAUCCUGAGUGAUACAGUGAUGCGGGGAGGGUUCAGAGCACUUUUCACUGUGGCAGCUUCCAUGUUGGUGUCCCAGCAGUGCUCCCUUCUGUCUGUCUGUCUGUCCUGCUGCCGCCUGCUCUUCCUUGGUUCACGCGCAGAUUUUGAGCCUGUUUCUCUGGGCUUUUUCCCAAGAGCUCCAGUGAACUCCGAUGUCUUCUGCAGUAAAUUCAUUUCUACAUUACAUCAGAUAGAACCAGAUUCUGUUGCUUGUAAUCAAGAACCUGGAGCUGGGAACCUUGCCAAAAUAUUUCUGAUCUUCAUGUGGAAGAAUUCAAGUCUGUGAAUAACUAAGACCAGGAGUCGGCAAACUUUUUCUGUAACAAAUACUAACCAUUUCAAGCUUUGGUGGCUGGAUGCAGCUACUCAACCCUACUGUCAUGGGGCUCAAAAGGAGCCAUUGCAGUAUGUAAGCAAAUGGGCAUGGUUGUGUUCCAAUAAAAGUUUAAUUACAAAUA